CACGCGGGUAGGGCCGAGGGGCUCGCCCUCCCUCACACCCGAAACGGGCGUAACGCGGGGGCCAGUAAUCCCUAGCCGCGCGUAGCUAUGGUGACCCGCCCCCGGGUAGGGCCGAUGAACCCCGCCCCAUGAGGCCGGCGGAAACGGUCGAGCGGCUGGAGGGCCGCUUCGAACCGUUUUAGCCGAGGAAACCUGGCCAGGCCCGGAAGGGAGCAACCUAUCCUCGGACGCCGGCGUUCAUGGGUCACCGGGGAUGAGGAACCCCCGGGACCAGCGGGCAUCAUGGCUAUGCGUAGGCUAGGGAGUCCGCGUG
rnacentral:SRP_RNA from 1 species